rnacentral:pre_miRNA from 1 species
AAAGUACUCCCUCCGUCCCAAAAUUCUUGUCUUAGACUUGUCUAGAUACGGAUGUAUCAAGUCACAUUUUAGUAUUAGAUACAUAUGUAUCUAGACAAAUCUAAGACAAGAAAUUUGGGACAGAGGGAGUAGUUG